rnacentral:rRNA from 1 species
GACGAACGCUGGCGGCGCGCCUAACACAUGCAAGUCGAACGGAGCUUAGAGAGCUUGCUUUUUAAGCUUAGUGGCGAACGGGUGAGUAACGCGUGAGUAACCUGCCCUAGAGUGGGGGACAACAGUUGGAAACGACUGCUAAUACCGCAUAAGCCCACGGUACCGCAUGGUACUGAGGGAAAAGGAUUUAUUCGCUUUAGGAUGGACUCGCGUCCAAUUAGCUAGUUGGUGAGGUAACGGCCCACCAAGGCGACGAUUGGUAGCCGGACUGAGAGGUUGAACGGCCACAUUGGGACUGAGACACGGCCCAGACUCCUACGGGAGGCAGCAGUGGGGGAUAUUGCACAAUGGGGGAAACCCUGAUGCAGCGACGCCGCGUGGAGGAAGAAGGUUUCGGAUUGUAAACUCCUGUCGUUAGGGACGAUAAUGACGGUACCUGUUUAGAAAGCCACGGCUAACUACGUGCCAGCAGCCGCGGU